AUUGAACGCUGGCGGAAUGCUUUACACAUGCAAGUCGAACGGCAGCACGGACUUCGGUCUGGUGGCGAGUGGCGAACGGGUGAGUAAUGUAUCGGAACGUGCCCAGUCGUGGGGGAUAACGUAGUGAAAAUUACGCUAAUACCGCAUACGAUCUAUGGAUGAAAGCGGGGGAUCGCAAGACCUCGCGCGAUUGGAGCGGCCGAUAUCAGAUUAGGUAGUUGGUGGGGUAAAGGCCCACCAAGCCAACGAUCUGUAGCUGGUCUGAGAGGGCGAACAGCCACACUGGAACUGAGACACGGUCCAGACUCCUACGGGAGGCAGCAGUGGGGAAUUUUGGACAAUGGGCGAAAGCCUGAUUCAGCCAUUCCGCGUGCAGGAUGAAGGCCCUCGGGUUGUAAACUGCUUUUGUACAGAACGAAAAGGUUUCUACUAAUACUAGGAGCUCAUGACGGUACUGUAAGAAUAAGCACCGGCUAACUACGUGCCAGCAGCCGCCGUAA
rnacentral:rRNA from 1 species